rnacentral:rRNA from 1 species
UAUAAGAAGACAGCAGCAGCCACGGUAAUACAGAGGGUGCAAGCGUUAAUCGGAAUUACUGGGCGUAAAGCGCGCGUAGGUGGUUUGUUAAGUUGGAUGUGAAAUCCCCGGGCUCAACCUGGGAACUGCAUCCAAAACUGGCAAGCUAGAGUAUGGUAGAGGGUGGUGGAAUUUCCUGUGUAGCGGUGAAAUGCGUAGAUAUAGGAAGGAACACCAGUGGCGAAGGCGACCACCUGGACUGAUACUGACACUGAGGUGCGAAAGCGUGGGGAGCAAACAGGAUUAGAUACCCGGGUAGUCCCUGUCUCUUAUAC